AUUGAACGCUGGCGGCAGGCCUAACACAUGCAAGUCGAGCGGAUGGAGGGAGCUUGCUCCUGGAUUCAGCGGCGGACGGGUGGGUAAUGCCUAGGAAUCUGCCUGGUAGUGGGGGAUAACGUCCGGAAACGGGCGCUAAUACCGCAUACGUCCUGAGGGAGAAAGUGGGGGAUCUUCGGACCUCACGCUAUCAGAUGAGCCUAGGUCGGAUUAGCUAGUUGGUGGGGUAAAGGCCUACCAAGGCGACGAUCCGUAACUGGUCUGAGAAGAUGAUCAGUCACACUGGAACUGAGACACGGUCCAGACUCCUACGGGAGGCAGCAGUGGGGAAUAUUGGACAAUGGGCGAAAGCCUGAUCCAGCCAUGCCGCGUGUGUGAAGAAGGUCUUCGGAUUGUAAAGCACUUUAAGUUGGGAGGAAGGGCAGUAAGUUAAUACCUUGCUGUUUUGACGUUACCAACAGAAUAAGCACCGGCUAACUUCGUG
rnacentral:rRNA from 1 species